UUUGAAGUAGGCGCGCUUGUUUUCCGGCUAACGAAAGUGCUUGGAUGGUAAUGGAUCAUCUCUUCGAUUUGCAAUCUCAUGGUGGAUCACUCAGAUCUGGCUUCCCUGAGUUGCGAUGGAGUCUGACAAAGCAUACGAUGAUGAUGAAGAUAAAGGGGAUAAAAAUAUCAUUCAGUAUUAUGGCGUGUGUUGAACUAUGCCUAUCAAAUCAACGAUAUACCAAAGGUGGAAUCAAAACCUGGUGAAGUCUAUGCUCGAUUCCUGACUCAGGAAUUGAUCCAAGGGUUCCUCAUGCAACCAAACCUGAAAUAUUAACCACCUCUGUUACUAACACGCAUGGAAUUCUCACAAAGAAACAAAGUCCUAUUCAUUCAUCUAUGAUUUCAAGCCAAACCAUGCAUCUAGGGUGGUUGCGACGGCUAGUCAUGCAGUCAUGACUGGCAACAUGUUUCUAGUCUAUUACAAACCCACAAGUCUUUGGUUUUGAUGUUCAUGACAAUGUAUGCUAAUUGCUGAGAACGUGAAGCCUAAUAUAAUUUAUGUUGGCAUUGAGGAUGGAGAUAAUCUAGAUGUUGUCAUGAGCGCAAAUUCAAAGAAAAAUCUCAU